UGUUGGUUCUCCCGCAACGCUACUCUGUUUACCAGGUCAGGUCCGGAAGGAAGCAGCCAGAGCAGACGACGUGUGUCCUGAUAUCUCCCUUGUAU
rnacentral:SRP_RNA from 1 species